rnacentral:rRNA from 1 species
UCGCAUCUGUGCAUGCAGCAUAUCAAUAAGCGGAGGAAAAGAAACUAACAAGGAUUCCCUUAGUAACGGCGAGUGAAGCGGGAAGAGCUCAAAUUUGAAAUCUUCAAGGUUUUACCUUGACGAAUUGUAGUUUAAAGAAGUGUUUUCUGUUGAAGUUUUGGUAAAAGUUCUUUGGAAUAGGACAUCAUAGAGGGUGAGAAUCCCGUAUCUGACCAUUAUUUUCAGCUGUGUGAUACACUUUCAAAGAGUCGGAUUGUUUGGGAAUGCAGUCCAAAAUGGGUGGUAAAUUUCAUCUAAAGCUAAAUAUUGGCGAGAGACCGAUAGCGAACAAGUACCGUGAGGGAAAGAUGAAAAGAACUUUGAAAAGAGAGUUAAACAGUACGUGAAAUUGUCAAAAGGGAAGCGUUUGACACCAGUGUUGUUUUCUCGAAAAUCAAUUAAAAAGAGUUUGAUUUUGUUGUGUAUUGACCUUAACAGCUUGCAUUUCAAUUUUCUUGCUUUUUUUAAUGCACUUUUCGUUUAACAAGUCAACAUCAGUUUCUUUUGUUGUAAAAAGGUCAUUGGAAGGUGGCUUUCUUUUCGGAGAAAGUGUUUAUAGCCUUUGACUCCUGCAAUCGGAGAGACUGAGGUCUGCAGCGUAGAUCCUUCGGGGUUAGAUACAUUUGUGCUAAGUUAUAGCUUUUUAUAGACAACUUGUUGACUAUGAUUAGUCUUGUAGCUUACUCGCUUAUGCUAUUUUACCUACGCUUAAGGAUGUUGAUGUGAUACUGCGAGCA